UUCUGAUUCUUGAACCCUUCAGAAUUCAUUGCUGUUACUGUAGAAAUGCAAACAAAAGAGGUUUUAUUUUCUCUUUCAGGGAAAUCUUGAAGAGUCUUCCACUUUUAAUCCUCCAGUCAUUGAUUGCACUGUAAGGACGUUGUGGUGAGGUGGUGGGAGUAAAAAGCAACUGCUUUCCUGGCCCUUUACAACCUAGUUAAGAAUUUGACUGAUAGAAUGUUGGCACCAGCUGUGAAAGAGCUGAUCAGCCUCACCUCCAAUGUCUCAAAAAAAACAACAGCAUCGAGGAUCAUAUAGAAAGAUGUUUGGACUAAUCCUCCCAUACCAAUUUGUUAUCAGAUGCUCGAAUAUAUGAAAAUAUAGGUAGAUCACUGCGCAUAGGUUCAACU
rnacentral:lncRNA from 1 species